GCAGCAGGCGCGAAACCUCCGCAAUGUGAGCAAUCGCGACGGGGGGAUCCCAAGUGCCAUUCUUAACGGGAUGGCUUUUCUUAAGUGUAAGAGCUUUUGGAAUAAGAGCUGGGCAAGACCG
rnacentral:rRNA from 1 species